rnacentral:rRNA from 1 species
AACGAACGCUGGCGGCAUGCCUAACACAUGCAAGUCGAACGAGACCUUCGGGUCUAGUGGCGCACGGGUGCGUAACGCGUGGGAAUCUGCCCUUGGGUUCGGAAUAACAGAGAGAAAUUACUGCUAAUACCGGAUGAUGUCUUCGGACCAAAGAUUUAUCGCCCCGGGAUGAGCCCGCGUAGGAUUAGCUGGUUGGUGGGGUAAUGGCCUACCAAGGCGACGAUCCUUAGCUGGUCUGAGAGGAUGAUCAGCCACACUGGGACUGAGACACGGCCCAGACUCCUACGGGAGGCAGCAGUGGGGAAUAUUGGACAAUGGGCGCAAGCCUGAUACAGCAAUGCCGCGUGAGUGAUGAAGGCCUUAGGGUUGUAAAGCUCUUUUAGCCGGGAUGAUAAUGACAGUACCGGGAGAAUAAGCUCCGGCUAACUCCGUG